GGACCAGGAUUCUAAAUGAGACCUGAGGGAAUGGAGCUGUUGUUGACAAGAGCUGUUAGACAAACAGGACAUGGAGGAGGAGUGGUCAUGCAUACCUCAAUGGGACAAAGUAUCUCCUCUGAGACUUCAGAAAAUCCUUUUCUUCUGGAGCCACUCUGUUCUGGAUUACCCUGAGAUUUUAAUGAGAUAAAGUCUAGAGAUGUAUAUAACUUUUCUGCAUCAUUUUGGAAUUUUAAUGAGAUGAAACGAGACCCAGAGACACCUGUUCUAGACCACUUUGGGAUCUUAAUGAGGUAAGGCUAACGGAGGAUGGACUAAAUUCAUUUUUUCCCAAGCUGUUCAGAGACCAAAUACACAGACAAGAAAUGCAAACAUAUGGAUGAAGUCUUCCAAAUUGCUACUUCCUCUAACUCCUUUUCUAAUCUUCAUGUUGUUUCUUUUUUAUUUAGAGUGUGUGUGUUGGUAGGUGUCAUCAGUGGAGGGCUGGUGGUUGGAAGUUAGAGGAGUAGCUGUUUAUGAAUUCUAGACCUGGACAGUCUUUGUCAUUAAGUUGAUAUGUGACCCCAUGGAUGCAAACAGGUUGAAGACAAGAGCUCUCUUUAAUGGAACCUGAACAGUGCCUAACUCCUGUAGAUAUUCACUGAAUGUUAAAUAACAACAGUGAUCAUGUAAUAAUGAUGCCCAAUUCACUUGGGAGAGAAUACCAAAUAGCUUGGAAUUUUCCUGUUACUGCCAGCAUGGCCUGAGAGCAUCCUGAGAGAGGUCAAAAGUCCGUCUGACUCACCUGUGCUGAGUGACUUGAAUGCCAUCUAAUCUAACUUCAAGAUCAUCAGGAUACUUGCCAACAAGGUCACAGUGGACUCCAUGGAGCAACUGCCCUCAGGAGGCAACAGGUCACAGUGUUUGGACACCGCAUGAACAUGCCAAUUUCCUGUGUUGUAAUAUUUUUAUGCACUUUAAGAAGACCACCAGAAACAGCAGAGUGAGUGAAUGACUGAGGCGCAUAUUGGACAAAAAUCACUUAUCCAAGACCACGUUACUACAACCCCAGGGCACAGAAGCUAAGUCUUCCUAUUGUACUGAACUCAGUUGACUGGAAUUUGUUCAGGAAAGCAUGAAGUCAAAUGGAAGCUAGUCCGUGACUGGAUUCAUCUUUUGGUAAAAAACGAAGAGGAGACCCCAUAUCCUGGAGGUUCUUGCUUAACCCUGUCCCUAAUAAGACCUAACUUUAUGAGUCUUCUCCUUAGAGGCAGUCCUAGGGUAAGAGUGAUUAUUCCUGUGAGCCUUGUAGGUACUUUCGAAUCAAGGAAAUUAGUAGUUGAUUGCUAAUUAAUUCAGUAUUUAAUGAAUUUAAGUACCUAGGCAAUGAGGCCACAAUAGCAAAUAAGACACAGACCUGUUUUCAAAAAGUAGCCUGUAAAUAAGAUAUUUUUUUCUGCCAUGGUGGCAAAGGCAUGACUAUGGUGAUGAACAUUCAUAGGCUCACCUUCUAGCUCUGUUGUAUGUUAACUGUGUGAACUUGGGUCAAGUUAUGAAAACUCUAAGAACUCUCAAAACUCCUGAUCUGUUUUAACAUGAAAGUAAAGAUAUCUAAUUGAAUUGUUGUGAAACUUAAAUGUAAUGUGACAUCCAAAGAAUGUAGCCCAAAGUUGGAUUUCAGUAAGUGAUAAAUAGAAGUAUUUAAACAUGGGUAUGGUAUGUUCUGUAACAGAAGAAUGUCUAUGUGCUGGGGAUACCUAGAGACAGUGAAAAUUCUGUCUGGCCUGCGAAUUAUAAUAAAAUGACUCUUUAAAGUCAAUGAG
rnacentral:lncRNA from 1 species